rnacentral:tmRNA from 1 species
GACAUGCGGGAGACGGUCAAGAACAGCCUGGUCAAGAAAACCAGCGUUACGUUGAUCCAAACGCUGAAUUCCCCGCUAUUCCUCCAAUAAGGCCACACCGACUGUCUUAGGGAAGCCUCAGAAUCCCUGUCCUACGGAGUCUGAUCUAGGGGUGCUGGAAAGGUGGGAAUAGAAGGCCCUGCGCUGCGGGGGGCCUUUGAAAAUUUAGCAGAUAGGCCGAAGGUGGAGUGUUUGUCCUCAGCCUUUGGAUGAAAAUAAAGGAUAAACUAAGCAUGUAGAAAGCAUAUCAUUUCCUUGUCUGGACGCGGGUUCGAUUCCCGCC